UGCAUAAAAAAAAAUAAAUAAAUAAAAAUAAAAAUUUGUAAAGACAACUUUUAUUGAAAACUUAAAACAAAACAGGGUGAAUAUUUAACUUUUUUUCUUUUUUUUUUUAAAUAAAAUUUGUGAAACUUAAACUAAUACACACCCUUUUGAGAGUGUAUACCAUAACAUAACCCAUCUAUAUGAUAGCUACUAUUACCAUGGGACAUUCUAUAGUAAAUAUGCACCAUUGUUACACCCUUUGUCGUCUUCGGUUAUGAUUUAUUGUGGUAUUAAUUAUGAUAUUAUUUUAAUUAUGAUUUAAGAAUUAUUUGAUUGUAUCUCAUGUAGUAUUUGAUUAUAACUUAUUUUUUUAGUUAGGACUCCUAUAAAAUUACUAUCACACGUAACCCAUCUAUGUAUGAUAGCUACUAUUACUAUGCGAAAUUCUAUAGUACAUAUGCACGUUUGUUAUACCCUUUGUUGUCUUCGGUUGUGAUUUAUUGUGAUUUAUUGUAGUACUAAUUAUGAUAUUAUUUUGAUUAUGAUUUAAGAAUUAUUUGAUUAUAUCUUAUGAUAUUUGAUUACAACUUAUCUUUUUAGUUGGGACUCCUAUAAGAUUACAAUCAUACAUAACCCAUCUAUGUAUGAUAACUACUAUUACUAUGCGAAAUUCUAUAGUACAUAUGCAUCUUUGUUAUACCCUUUGUCGUUUUCAAUUAUGAUUUAUUGUGAUACUAAUUAUGAUAUUAUUUUGAUUAUAAUUUAAGAAUUAUUUAAUUAUAUCUUAUUUAGUAUUUGAUUAUAACUUAUUUUUUUAGUUAAGACUCCCAUAAAAUUAAGUUAUGAUAUUUAUAAUAAUUAAACGCACAAAAUAUCAAAAAUUGCAUAUGUGACACACCAUUGAACAUUAUUCUUAUUGAGUCCGAAUCCUCCGUAGUUCUUUCCUGUAGUGCAAUUUGUAGUGCAUCCAAAACGAGGACAUUCUAAUGUUUUUCUUUUCCCCUUCCAAGUGUGUUUGGUUAGGGGGCUAAAAGAAUAGGUUUGGCUACCUCUCCACUUGUCCUUCCAAACCUCUGUUCUUAACUUCUGAGAAUGAUCUCAAAUCUUGCUUCAGUAAUCUAACCAAUCUUCAAUAACUUAACAUCUCAAGCAACAAAAUAGAAGGAAAUUCAAAACCCAACUUGGUUCUUCACUCAUUGAAUCACAUUGAUUUGGCAAAAAUGAUUUUUUUGUUUUGUUUUUUUAAUUAACCUCUCACUCAACAGCUUCAAUGGCCAAUUGGGUCAAGAGAUUUGAAAAUUUUGCUUUUCUUAAUGUUGAUAAUUUCAAUUUCAAUCCUUCAAAUGUAUCCAAAAUUUCAUAAACUCAUCUCACAAAUCACCCAAAAUCAGGUGAAUGAAAAAUCAUAUAAAACUGAAGAAAUCAGAAAUAUACAUAUAAUGGAAAGAACCAGGACGUCUUCGGUCGUUUUUUGGAUGCAUUACAGAGGAUCCGGACUCUUAUUAUUAUUAGUAAUGAUUUUUUUUUUGGGGAAGGGGGGGAGAGAGACUCAUGUUGUUCUUCUCUUAAUAAAAAUGUCAUAUCAAACAUAAGCCAAAAAACAUAAUAGUCAAUUUCAAUAACAUAACGGAUUACAUAUUCAAUUUCAAUAACAUAACAGAUUUAAAAACAGAUUCAAUAAUAUAUUCAAUUUAAUAACAAAUUUAAUCACUCUCUAAAAUUUUUUCAAUAACAGAUUCAGUUUAAUAACAGAUUCAGUCACAGAUUCAAUAAUAGAUUCAAUUUAAAAUUACAAUAACAGAUUUAAUUUCCCCUUCUAACAUAGAUUCAAUAAUAGAUUUAAUUCCAAAAGCACAGAUUUAAUUCCAAAAUCACAGAUUCAAUUCCAAAAAAAAAAAAAAAAUAGAGAGAGAGAUCUGUUUGCAUAAACACAGAUUCAAUUUCCAUUUCUCACAGAUCAGUUGCUACAAAACAAAAAUCAGAUUUAAUUCCAAACAAACACACAGAGUCAAUUUCCACUUCUCAUAGAUUUAACAACAGAUUUAAUUCCAAUACCACAUAUUUAAUUCCAACAACAUAGAUUCAAUUAAAAAAAAAAAACAAAGAGAGAAAGAUCUAUUUGCAUAAACACAUAUUCAAUUUUCACUUCUUACAGAUCUGUUGCUAUAAAAAAAAAUUAACAGAUCUGAUUGCAUAAAAUAAACAGAUCUGAUGAGAUGAGAGAGUGAGGGGGACAAAUCAGAGAGAGAGAUUUGAUAUGUUGCAAC